rnacentral:tRNA from 1 species
GCGGGUGUGGUGGAAUAGGUAGACACACAAGACUUAAAAUCUUGAGGCUUAUGGCCGUGCCGGUUCGAGUCCGGCCACCCGCACCA